rnacentral:lncRNA from 10 species
UUGCUUGAAUCUGGGAGGCGGAGGUUGCAGUGAGCCGAAAUUGCACCACUGGACUCCAGCCUGGGCGACAAACUGAGACACCGUCUCAAAAAUAAAACAAAACAAAAUAAAAUAAAAUAGUGCAUCAAUUAUUAACAACAUAGUAAGAUCACACUGCACGAACAACAGGACUGCUGAUACUUCAAAAGGCAAAGGAGGACCUGAGGGAGCAAAUACACAAGCCUGGACUGCAAUCACUUCUUGAAAUGCGUAAAACAUCAGUAAUGUAUAUAAAACUGCUCAAAAACAUAAACUAAAUAAUUCUGUUAAAAUGAUCUAUCCACUAGCACUUUGCAAGGCCAAGGCAGGUGGAUCACCUGAGGCCAGGAGUUCGAGACCAGCCUGAACAACAUGGUGAAACCUCGUCUCUACUAAAAAUACAAAAAUUAGGACGGGCAUGGUGGCUUAAGCCUGUAAUCCCAGCACUUUGGGAGGCCAAGGCGGGUGGAUCACAAGGUCAGGAGUUCAAGACCAGCCUGGCCAAUAUGGUGAAACCCCAUCUCUACUAAAAAUACAAAAAUUAGCUGGGCGUGGUGGCAGGCACCUGUAAUCCCAGCUACUCAGGAGGCUGAGGCAGGAGAACUGCUUGAACCCGGGAGGCAGAGGUUGCAGUGAGCUGAGAUUGCACCACUGCACUCCAGCCUGGGUGACAGAGCAAGACUGUUUCAGGAGAAAAAAAAAAUGUGGGGGAAAAAGCAAAAAUAAUCACCCUGGCAACUGGACAAAUGCUGUGUGUGUGUUCACGGCAUGGGGUACUGCCUCUACUGUCCUUUUCAUCAGAAUUCUCUCUGAAAAUUAAUAAACACACAAAACAACUUGGGAGGCUCUAUCUUUACAGCACAAGCUGGUUCACGGGUGACUGUGCUGAAAAUGUGAUGUGGCGCCUAAACAGAAUGAAGUACAAAUUUAUUUUUCAAAUAGUUCUUCAGAAACAAACUCAUGUUUAUUUCCUUCAACUUACUAUAGUAAAAUUAACAUAUGUUUCAUACAAAUUCAUCCAAUUUUUCUUAUUUGUCCCUAGACAAAUAGAACACUUUUUUUUUUUUUUCUGAGACAGAGUCUCACUCUGUCGCCCAGGCUGGAGUGCAGUGGCGCGAUCUCGGCUCACUGCAAGCUCCGCCUCCUGGGUUCACGCCAUUCUCCUGCCUCUGCCUCCGGAGUACCUAGGACUACAGGCGCCCACCACCACACCCGGCUUUUUUUUUUUUUUUUUUUUUUUUUUAGUAGAGACGGGGUUUCACCGUGUUAGCCAGGAUGGUCUCGAUCUCCUGACCUUGUGACCCGCCCGCCUCGGCCUCCCAGAGUGCUGGCACAGGCAUGAGCCACUGUGCCCGGCCAGAACACUCUUUAAUACGAGAAGUUUUUGUUUGUUUUGUUUUUUGAGAUGGGGUCUUGCUCUGUUGCCCAGGCUGGAGUGCAGUGGUGCAAUCAAGGCUCACUGCAGCCUCCACCUCCUGGACUCAAGCAAUCCUCCUGCCUCAGCCUCCCACAGUGCUGAGAUUACAGGCAUGUCACUGUGCCCAGCCGUGCAGGAGAAGAUCUGAUCUGGAAAAAUAUGCGAAAACAACUCUUAAAAAUUAACUUUACAAUGUCAACUCCAACUCUGAGGCAGAAAAAAGGUGGCGCAGCCCAUUCUCUACCAGUUAAGGACCCAACGUGAAGCCAGAACAGCUCUGACUUGGAAAAUGCUAUUAAGUGUUAGCAAUGUACACGGUUAUUACAGUAUGAAAAUCUCCAAAGCAAUGCUACAGGUUUGUCUCUAUAAAGACUGAGGCUACAAUCUCAUGUCUUUAAAAU